rnacentral:rRNA from 1 species
GGAAUUUUGGACAAUGGGCGAAAGCCUGAUCCAGCAAUGCCGCGUGAGUGAAGAAGGCCUUCGGGUUGUAAAGCUCUUUUGUCAGGGAAGAAACGGUGAGGGCUAAUAUCCCUUGCUAAUGACGGUACCUGAAGAAUAAGCACCGGCUAACUACGUGCCAGCAGCCGCGGUAAUACGUAGGGUGCAAGCGUUAAUCGGAAUUACUGGGCGUAAAGCGUGCGCAGGCGGUUUUGUAAGUCUGAUGUGAAAUCCCCGGGCUCAACCUGGGAAUUGCAUUGGAGACUGCAAGGCUAGAAUCUGGCAGAGGGGGGUAGAAUUCCACGUGUAGCAGUGAAAUGCGUAGAUAUGUGGAGGAACACCGAUGGCGAAGGCAGCCCCCUGGGUCAAGAUUGACGCUCAUGCACGAAAGCGUGGGGAGCAAACAGGAUUAGAUACCCUUG